rnacentral:rRNA from 1 species
UACGUAGGGUGCGAGCGUUAAUCGGAAUUACUGGGCGUAAAGCGUGCGCAGGCGGUUCGUUGUGUCGGUGGUGAAAUCCCCGGGCUUAACUUGGGAAUGGCCAUGGAAACUGGCGAACUGGAGUGCGGCAGAGGGGGGUGGAAUUCCGCGUGUAGCAGUGAAAUGCGUAGAGAUGCGGAGGAACACCGAUGGCGAAGGCAGCCCCCUGGGCUAGCACUGACGCUCAGGCACGAAAGCGUGGGGAGCAAACAGG